rnacentral:rRNA from 1 species
UAUAGCGCCGGGGUUCCACCUCUUCCCAUUCCGAACAGAGCAGUUAAACCCGGUUGCGCCGAUGGUACUGCAUGUUUUGUGGGAGAGUAGGUCGUCGCCGGUU